rnacentral:rRNA from 1 species
GUAGGGAAUCUUGCGCAAUGGGCGAAAGCCUGACGCAGCCAUGCCGCGUGAAUGAUGAAGGUCUUAGGAUUGUAAAAUUCUUUCACCGGGGACGAUAAUGACGGUACCCGGAGAAGAAGCCCCGGCUAACUUCGUGCCAGCAGCCGCGGUAAUACGAAGGGGGCUAGCGUUGCUCGGAAUUACUGGGCGUAAAGGGAGCGUAGGCGGAUAGUUUAGUCAGAGGUGAAAGCCCAGGGCUCAACCUUGGAAUUGCCUUUGAUACUGGCUAUAUUGAGGAUGGAAGAGGUAUGUGGAACUCCGAGUGUAGAGGUGAAAUUCGUAGAUAUUCGGAAGAACACCAGUGGCGAAGGCGACAUACUGGUCCAUUACUGACGCUGAGGCUCGAAAGCGUGGGGAGCAAACAGGAUUAGAAACCCCAGUAGUCC